AUGGCCGAAUGCUUCAAUAGGGUGCUCAAAGGUGCACGUGGAUUACCCGUGACGGCAAUAGUUCAAUACACAUUUGACAAGAUGAAUGCGUACUUUGUAAAGUACUCGAUGGAAACCGAUGCACAGAUAGCGGGUGAGAACCCACGGAAGUACAAGUACAAGUUCCCACCCAAAGUUGAUGAAUGGUUGGUAUUUCAAUCACGGAAGGCGGACUCAGAAGAAGCUAUAUUAUAUGACAACGAAGAGUGGAAGUACGAAGUGAAAGAGCCAGGAGGAACCACAAACGAUGGCCGGCAACAUGGAGGUCGGGCUUUCAAGGUGUCGUUAACACAAUGUGAUUGCACUUGCGGGUGGCCAUUGUUGCUUCAUCUCCCAUGCUCACAUGUGUAUGCCGCCGGUCGCGUUAGGAAUGUGGACAUCAAUCAUCCACGCACCGUGAGGGAGUCGGAGUUCUCAAUCAUGACGGUCAAGAAAACAUGGGCUCCCCGCUUUCACCCAUACUUUGACCAAUCACAAUGGCCGGAGUAUCAUGGAGUUCAACUAUGGCCGGAUCCG
rnacentral:rRNA from 1 species